GCAAGUCGAGGGGUAACAGGGGGGCUUGCUCCCGCUGACGACCGGCGCACGGGUGCGUAACGCGUAUAGAACCUACCUACUACUGGGGGAUAGCCUUUAGAAAUGAAGAUUAAUAUCCCAUGGCAUUUCGGAGUGGCAUCACUUCGUCAUUAAAGAUUCAUCGGUGGUAGAUGGCUAUGCGUCCUAUUAGCUUGAUGGUGGGGUAACGGCCCACCAUGGCAUUGAUAGGUAGGGGCCCUGAGAGGGGGAUC
rnacentral:rRNA from 1 species